rnacentral:rRNA from 1 species
CGCGUAGGUGGUUUGGUAAGUCGGAUGUGAAAGCCCCGGGCUCAACCUGGGAAUUGCAUCCGAUACUGCCUGACUAGAGUAUGGUAGAGGAUAGCGGAAUUCCGAGUGUAGCGGUGAAAUGCGUAGAUAUCCGGAGGAACAUCAGUGGCGAAGGCGGCUAUCUGGACCAAUACUGACACUGAGGUGCGAAAGCGGUGGGGAGCAAACA